CGGUCCUCGGGACGCAGCAGUAGGGAAUCUUCCACAAUGGGCGAAAGCCUGAUGGAGCAACGCCGCGUGGGUGAAGAAGGUCUUCGGAUCGUAAAACCCUGUUGUUAGAGAAGAAAGUGCGUGAGAGUAACUGUUCACGUUUCGACGGUAUCUAACCAGAAAGCCACGGCUAACUACGUGCCAGCAGCCGCGGUAAUACGUAGGUGGCAAGCGUUAUCCGGAUUUAUUGGGCGUAAAGGGAACGCAGGCGGUCUUUUAAGUCUGAUGGGAAAGCCUUCGGCUUAACCGGAGUAG
rnacentral:rRNA from 1 species